rfam:Triticum aestivum genome assembly, contig: Triticum_aestivum_CS42_TGACv1_scaffold_064624_1DL
UAAAUACUCCCUCCGUCCGGAAAUACUUGUCAUCAAAAUGGAAAAAAGGAGAAGUAUCUAGACGUAUUUUAGUUCUACAUACAUCCCUUUUUAUUCAUUUUGAUGACAAGUAUUUUUGGACGGCGGGAGUAACUU